ACCAGUAUGGUGCAGUGGUUUGAGCAUUGGACUAUGACUCUGGAGACCAGGGUUCAAAUCCCUGCUCAGCCA